rnacentral:rRNA from 1 species
UUGCUUCUCUUGACAGCGGCGGACGGGUGAGUAAUGCCUAGGAAUCUGCCUGGUAGUGGGGGAUAACGUUCGGAAACGGACGCUAAUACCGCAUACGUCCUACGGGAGAAAGCAGGGGACCUUCGGGCCUUGCGCUAUCAGAUGAGCCUAGGUCGGAUUAGCUAGUUGGUGAGGUAAUGGCUCACCAAGGCGACGAUCCGUAACUGGUCUGAGAGGAUGAUCAGUCACACUGGAACUGAGACACGGUCCAGACUCCUACGGGAGGCAGCAGUGGGGAAUAUUGGACAAUGGGCGAAAGCCUGAUCCAGCCAUGCCGCGUGUGUGAAGAAGGUCUUCGGAUUGUAAAGCACUUUAAGUUGGGAGGAAGGGCAGUUACCUAAUACGUGAUUGUUUUGACGUUACCGACAGAAUAAGCACCGGCUAACUCUGUGCCAGCAGCCGCGGUAAUACAGAGGGUGCAAGCGUUAAUCGGAAUUACUGGGCGUAAAGCGCGCGUAGGUGGUUAGUUAAGUUGGAUGUGAAAUCCCCGGGCUC